rnacentral:lncRNA from 1 species
UCAAAGGUUUCCCUUAAGAUCACGCUGAUGUUGGAUCCUCGGCUGCCAUAGAAAAUACUCGGGGUGUUCUUGAAAGUACACUUUUCCAGUAGUCUUAAAGUUUGCACAGAAUAAUUUAAAGAUCUUGCUGGAACAAGUGCAAUUAAUACCAAUGAUAGAAUAGGAAUAAAUACUGCACAGACUGCUGGAAAUGUUUUUCUAUAAAUGUUCAAAACUACAAGUUAUUCCUAGAGAUCUUGUUGGAAUUU